rnacentral:tRNA from 1 species
AGUACUCCAGGGGCAGGGCAGCGCACUCGUAAUGCGUAGGUCCGGAGUUCGAAUCUCCGAGGCGGCUCCA